rnacentral:rRNA from 1 species
GGGUAGAAGCCUACCAAGGCAAUGAUGCGUAGCCGAGUUGAGAGACUGGCCGGCCACAUUGGGACUGAGACACUGCCCAAACUCCUACGGGAGGCUGCAGUAGGGAAUUUUCCGCAAUGCACGAAAGUGUGACGGAGCGACGCCGCGUGUGUGAUGAAGGCUUUCGGGUCGUAAAGCACUGUUGUAAGGGAAGAAUAACUGAAUUCAGAGAAAGUUUUCAGCUUGACGGUACCUUACCAGAAAGGGAUGGCUAAAUACGUGCCAGCAGCCGCGGUAAUACGUAUGUCCCGAGCGUUAUCCGGAUUUAUUGGGCGUAAAGCGAGCGCAGACGGUUUAUUAAGUCUGAUGUGAAAUCCCGAGGCCCAACCUCGGAACUGCAUUGGAAACUGAUUUACUUGAGUGCGAUAGAGGCAAGUGGAACUCCAUGUGUAGCGGUGAAAUGCGUAGAUAUGUGGAAGAACACCAGUGGCGAAAGCGGCUUGCUAGAUCGUAACUGACGUUGAGGCUCGAAAG